rnacentral:lncRNA from 1 species
AGUAUUUUAGCCUUUAGCUUUGUUGGCAAUGUUCACAUUUUUACAAGAUAAUGAAUUACCAGAAUAAUUUUUCAAAAAUCAUGGCUGGUCCAAUGAUAGUGGGUUAUCAGAACUUAUUAACAUUAGUGUAACUAAAGUUGGUAGAUAAUCCCCCCUGCUAAAUUUGACUGGCUAAAUAAAUAAAAAUAAAAAUAAAAAUCAUACAAUCCAGAAAGAUGUUAAUUAAAAACAAUAGAAUGCUUCCCUACACUUCUUGACCUCUUAGUUCCAUUUCCAGAGGAAAUCACUUAAAAAAAAAAGUUUUUAGAGAAGAAGUCUCACUAUGUUGCCCCAUCUAGAUUCAAACUGCUAAGCUCAAGGGAUUCUCCACUUCAGCCUCCCCCACGUAGCUGGGACAGCAGGUGCAUGCCACCAUGUCCAACUGGGAGCCAGUUUUUAACUCUUAGUAGUUAUCUCCAUUGAUCUAAAUAACAUACUUCAGGAGAUAAUAAUAAUACCCAACUCCUAGGACUUAUUGAGAGAAGUAAAUGAACUAAGCCAAGCACAGUGGCUCACGCCUGUAAUCCCAGCAAUUUGGGAGGCCGAGGCAGGUGGAUCACUUGAGGCCAGGAGUUCAAGACCAGCCUGGCCAAUAUGUCAAAAUCCUGUCUCUACUAAAAAUACAAAAAUUAGCAGGGCAUGGUGGCGCAUGACUGCGAUCCCAGCUAUUUGGGAGGCUGAGGCAGAAGAAUCGCUUGAACCUGGGAGGCAGAGGUUGCAGAGAGCUGAGAUCGCACCACUGCACUCCAGCCUAGGCAACAGAGUGAGACUUUGUCUCAAAAAAAAAAAAAAAAAAAGAGAGAAUGAGCCAAUACAUGUCAAGAACUUAGAACUGCUCUUGACACAUUAAUACUUAAUAUAGAUUGGUUAUUACUACUUUCAUUAAUUAUUAUUUUGUCAUCUAUCAAUUUUAGUCAAUUACCUAUUGAUUUCAGCAGUGAUAACUGAGGAUUUGGGGCUCUGAUACCACUCCCUCCUUUCUCUCACCUUCUCAAUUCAUUUGCCUUUUCAACUACUCAUUAACUCUUUUGGAGGUCUCCUGAGUUGUUCUAAUUCUCCCAUUGUUUCAGCUUCAAACUCACCAGUAUCUAACCAAAUGAAUCUUGUCAGAAUUGCUGCACUGAAAUUUGGAAGAGAAUCUGGUUGCAUUGAUCGUGGAGAAGUGAUUUUUAAUUUCUUGCUGAACUGGUCCCUUUCUUGAUUAUCUUUCUUGGCCUUUCCUUUUGUCAAUCAGCCCAUUGCAAUCUGGCGUAUUACUGUGCUUCUCGUCUAAUAUGCUUCUCUCCAGCUUCUAGAGGUCCAGUUUCAGAUGCUGACCUAACUAAUACUGUCACUCUUCCAAUUUAUUUAUUUAUUUAUUUAUUUAUUUAUUUAUUUAUUUGAGACAGAGUCUCACUCUUUCACCCAGGCUGGAGUGCAGUGGCACCAUCUCUGCUCACUGCAACCUCCGUCUCCUGGGUUCAAGUAAUUCUCAUGCCUCAGCCUCCCUCAGCCUCCUGAGUAGCGGGGACUACAGGCGUGCACCACUAUGCCUGGCUAAUUUUUGUAUUUUUAGCAGAAACAAGGUUUUGCCAUGUUGGCCAGUCUGGUCUCAAACUCCCAGCCUCAAGUGAUCCACCUGUCUCAGCCUCCCGAAGUGCUGGGAUUACAGGCAUGAGCCACCGCACCUGACCCAAAUUUUUCUUAAUGAAUCAAAAGCUCUUUUACUGUUGUUUUUACAUUAAUGGUAUGAGUCUUACCAAGUUAGAGCUCACUGAGAAAGCCAGCUCUCAACCCACAUGUCAUCUCAUGUGCUAGCUAAUGAACUUGAUGUCACCAAAUUAACUGGCAUGUCAACUUCCCUUUGGGUUGCACUCUGCUUGUGACUUUCAUUACACCUAUCACCAUCCUGACUGCAGGGUUAACCUGCUUCCAAGUUAACUCUCUAGAGCAAGAAAAAGAAUGCUUUUUCUGGCUUCCCUCAGAUGGAAUUGAAACAGACCAAAAAUUUUAAAAAUACUUUAUUGAAUGAUAAAACAGAAAUGCACAUAGAAUAUGAGACAUAUCAGUGGUCUGGCUCACAAAGAAGAGAUAUCAUAUCUUGCAAGCCAGGGUUUCAUAUGCCUUUUGUAUCCAGUCUGAUAAACUUCCUUCCCCCUAAGUGAAUACCGUUAAGUGGUCUUAAAAUAGCUUCUCAUACACGAACUGAGUUUGCCCAUAGUAAACCUCCAGUAGUGUGAUAUUCUAAUACAAUAACUGUAUACUAGAAUUACCCACAAAGGGUAAGAGGGAGGAACAAAUAGUUUUUCUUUCACUGUGCAUAUCUCAAGUUAAAAGAACAAUAUCAAGGUAAGACAGUGUCUGCUACACAAUGCACAGAGACCUUGGUUUCUGUGGGGCUGAAAUCAUGGACAUUUCUAUCACCUAGUAAGGAAACAAAGGUUGUGGAGAAGCAGCUGGUCCAGAAGAAACAGAACACAGCUUAGCAUUACAUGAUCUAGAUUCUACUAAUUGUUCUUCCAAUUAUUCAACUAGAGCUCUUUGUCCUUGGAAAAGUGAACUUUUCUGAAUCUCAGUUUCCUUAUCUAAAGAGUGAGCAUACCAAUAUUUACACUACUUAUCUCUCAGUGUUGUUCAAACAAUUGUUAAGGUAACAAUUUAUUGUAAGCAGAGUCAAAGUUUACUUCAGUCUUGCUCGAGGGAACUUGAAGAAAGUUCAUAGAUUUCUUUCAUAGACUCUUUGUCUGAUACUCAUGGGUAGCUAGAUAACAUUUUUAGACUAAGUACAAGGAAAACUAUCUUGGUACAGGUUAUUGGGCUCCUCAUGUGCACGUUACUGUUUUUUUUUAUUAUUAUACUUUAGGUUCUAGGGUACAUGUGCACAAUGUGCAGGUUUGUUACAUAUGUAUACACGUGCCAUGUUGCUGUGCUGCACCCAUUAACUCGUCAUUUACAUUAGGU